AUUGAACGCUGGCGGCAGGCCUAACACAUGCAAGUCGAACGGUAACAGGAAACAGCUUGCUGUUUCGCUGACGAGUGGCGGACGGGUGAGUAAUGUCUGGGAAACUGCCUGAUGGAGGGGGAUAACUACUGGAAACGGUAGCUAAUACCGCAUAACGUCGCAAGACCAAAGAGGGGGACCUUCGGGCCUCUUGCCAUCGGAUGUGCCCAGAUGGGAUUAGCUAGUAGGUGGGGUAACGGCUCACCUAGGCGACGAUCCCUAGCUGGUCUGAGAGGAUGACCAGCCACACUGGAACUGAGACACGGUCCAGACUCCUACGGGAGGCAGCAGUGGGGAAUAUUACACAAUGGGCGCAAGCCUGAUGCAGCCAUGCCGCGUGUAUGAAGAAGGCCUUCGGGUUGUAAAGUACUUUCAGCGGGGAGGAAGGGAGUAAAGUUAAUACCUUUACUCAUUGACGUUACCUGCAGAAGAAGCACCGGCUAACUCCGUG
rnacentral:rRNA from 1 species